UUAUCAAUGAAGACAUUGGAUUGUUCGUUAACAUCAUGAUUCCCAGAGGGUCGAGGUUAGGUGUCCUCUUUUGGAGACUUGGUCCUUGAAACUGGGCCUCUACAUAAAGCCAAAUGCAUUUGCUGAACAAGAAAGGUAUUUUGGCUCAGUGUGUCUGUGAUUGAAACCUUUGCCAGCAAAAUGUUUUUUAAACCUUCAUGUUAGCUGUGCUGAGAUGAAAAAUAUUGUUUUGUUCUCCUCAUGAGAGAAUAAAAGCUGGUGUGGUUAAUAUCUGAUGCCAAGCAUUCUCCAUGGAUGAAGGGCUCAUUCAUGCCUCACCGUCUUAACCUUUCAAGUGGAAAAGGAAAAAAAAAAAAAAAAGAAGAAGAAAAGAAAAGAAAGAAAGGAACAUUGCGGAACUUCAAGAGCCAGUGCCUCCCUCACACAUGUGUGAUUUAUUGCUCCAGGCUGCACUCAGGGAAGAAAGAGGAGACACAACACAGCAUCACCACUUCUGCUGGCGUCAUAGCAUUUCCCAUGUGGGGCCAGGUCUCCAACCUGGGCUGUAUUCAUGGCAAGACAAGUACUCUACCAGCCCUGCCCCAAGAUGAUUGACAAGAAGAAUACUGUGUUCUGUCACUGGUAUGUUUCCAAAUUGCCAUGUGUCCAGAGCCUGUUUGUCCGGGUGAGUGCUGUCUACUUUAAGAUGGGGCGGUCUUCAAGCAGAGGGAGCAGG